GUGUAUCGGUUAUGCUGCCAAGUGUACCGCCGAGUAGCCGCGUUCGGUUUGGAUAAGCGCUGAAAGCAUCUAAGCGCGAAGCCAUCCCCAAGAUAAGUCUUCCCUUGAGGGGCGUAGGAGACUACUACGUUGAUAGGCUGCAGAUGUAAAGGUAGUAAUAUCAAAGUCGAGCAGUACUAAUUACCCGAACGGCUUUCUUGC
rnacentral:rRNA from 1 species